UAGCAGCUUCGGAGCAACGUCGGC
rnacentral:siRNA from 1 species